rnacentral:rRNA from 1 species
GACGAACGCUGGCGGCGUGCUUAACACAUGCAAGUCGAGCGGUAAGGCCCUUUCGGGGGUACACGAGCGGCGAACGGGUGAGUAACACGUGGGUGACCUGCCUCUAGCUCUGGGAUAAGCCCGGGAAACUGGGUCUAAUACUGGAUAUGACUCCAUGACGCAUGUUGUGGGGUGGAAAGCCUUGUGCGGCUAGAGAUGGGCCCGCGGCCUAUCAGCUUGUUGGGGGGUGAUGGCCUACCAAGGCGACGACGGGUAGCCGGCCUGAGAGGGCGACCGGCCACACUGGGACUGAGACACGGCCCAGACUCCUACGGGAGGCAGCAGUGGGGAAUCUUGCGCAAUGGGCGAAAGCCUGACGCAGCGACGCCGCGUGAGGGAUGACGGCC